rnacentral:lncRNA from 1 species
AGAGAACUAGAAAAUGAAACUCAGCUGAAAAACGGCCACCUAAGAUGGAAGAAGCCAUGAGAUGAGUAAGCGUUGCCUACUCACAAGGUUGCAAACUGUCCUUCACUUACGAUUAUCCCCCAACGCCCCCUCCUAAAUCUGAUCAAUCGCAUGGAACUUGAUGGUUACAAAAGACAGAGCUAACAACUAGCAAAAUGGCCGAAAGGUUUUGGCAAGCAACCUUCUUGGGAGAAAUGCAAAUACCAUUGAUUUUUCGAGGCCUCUCAUGGAUGAAGACAUGCUCCUUUUUACAAGUGUGGUCAGGUUCCCUGAUAACUCUUUGUAUGAUCAUGUGGUUGCAGUACCUUGCAGGAACGGGAACGUCAUUCUGAGGGUAGUCCACAUGCAAGUGUUCUAAAGUUGACAUCACUGCUUCAUCAUUCACCUCAUUUUCCCAGAACAGAAGCACCAAGAAAAUUAUCACCAUUAUUAUCAUCAGAGAUUAAGAAGCAGCAAUGCCCCUCUUGUGGCAAGAGUUGGCAGCGUGCGGUUGGUAUGUCAAUGCAUCCAAGGUCCAAGGGCCUGGAUUGUCUGCCAAAUGCUUGGGAGUUGUUUGAUCAGGUUGACAUGCUCCAACAGCAUUGUGGACUGGGCCCACACCUACGCUGAGGUGACCAAUGUCUCCAACUGUUGGAUCUGCUCCACCUUCCAGCAGCAGCUGCGGAGAGUUUGCCCUGGAACGCGUAUCCUGCUUCUGUUAAGAACUGGACAUGGCUAGAAGCUUGGGGUCCCACGGACAAUGGGUGGGAUGCCACAGGGCGGGCUUUGGAUAGGAGGCAUCACAAAACCCAUGGCAAACCUGGCCCUUGGCUGACUCAUAGUGUCCAUGAUGGAUGGAGCUGGCUAAUGGGAGAACACGUGGUGCCCCCAUUGCAGGUAUCACAAUGUAUAGAGCAGCACUGGGGUAAAGUCACUGUGGGAUGGUUGCCUACUGAGGUUUGUGCAAACAUAACAUGUGUCACCACACCAAGGGUGCAGUGGAACAAGCGGCCUUACGAAGGCCAGGCCCCCAUGGACUUUGUGCCCCCUGGGAGUUUAUGGGUCUGUGGGGACACAGGAUGGCCAUAUCUCCCAGCCAACUGGACUGGACAUUGUACCUGGGGUUGGCCCUAUGUGCCUGCCACUGGGCUUCCCACAUUGCCUAGUCGCCACAUAACUGGGAGCCACUGUGUUCCUGCUUUUUCCCAGUGCAGCAGGCCCUCUAGUGGUUCUAUCCCUUAGCAAUGACUAUCCCUGGAGCAGGCGUCAUUACUAUAGAAAAGCAAGUUGCAGCCUUUGCAGACCACACAGCUCGGUCCCGAGUUGCCCUCCUUUUGUUAACUGAUGAAGUUGAUCAGAUCAGGAAGGUGGUGCUGCAAAACCAGAUGGCCUUAGACAUAGUCGCAGCUGCCCAAGGUGGCACCUGUGCCCUUGUAGGGACACAAGGUUGUACAUUUAUCCCUGACAACCACUGGAAUAUAAUGGCAGCUUCACAAGGGGUGUCAUAGGAGAUUAAGGUGAUUGAGCACCUUACUGAUGACCCCCUGCAGAGAUGGUGGGCGUCUUUGGGAUCUGGCCUACAAUGGGCUCUCAUAAUCAUAGGUAGCAUAGCAGGAAUAUUAGUGGUAGGUUGUUGCUGUCUGUGUUGUUGCUGUGGCCUAUGGGUCCAGGGUGCUGCCACAUGUGCAUGGGUCCCCACCAAGAGGAUUCCCUGGCCUAGAGGGUGGAGUGUAAGGAACAUGGCUGUGUGCAGGCAAGCAGGCAUAGGCCAAGGUAAACAGCCUAGAUGACUCAGUGGGAUUGGGGCACAAGUGCACAGUCCCAUAUCUUAUAUAAUCAUAGCCGUGUAGGCACAACAUAAAGAAGCUCCCCACCUGGCUCUCAGUCACUAUCGUUUGUGUAGUGUAUAAAUGUAACACUGACCCUGUGAAGGGGCUGCUGAAUAAAGCCAUGUCUCAUUUA